UGGUUGCAAGACUUCGGUUCAGCGAAUCUUCAGUUGGCUAUGCAGGAUGAUUGUUCUACAUUUUAGCUGUAAUUCCAGUUUGGUCCUGGGAUGAGAUAUUAUCCUUUUCCUGCUCCAAUUGGCCCAUUUUUGGUCUGUUACACCUUUUCUAGUUUGCUCCUGAGUCCCUUUGACCUGGACUGCAGGAGCCUUUCAUAGCUUCCUUCCACUCUGCUAUAAGAUGUUACAGGUCCUGGGUCCCUACUGCCAAAUGGUUUCUGACAUGUUAUUGUUGCUUGUUAAAUAUGUGAUAAAUGAGUCAUCAAGCUGAUCACCUUAUAAUGAAGUUCUGCCCACAUAUGCACCUGUGGUUGUAACGGCUGUGUUGGGGACAUGCAUUUGUGAUAACCGUCAUGCAGGUAUGAGAAAAGAACAGCGGCAGGUUGAGGUCAAUGACACACUGUACCCGCUGAAGGCCAGACACAGUGCAGAGGCCCAUAGGCAGGAGCUUGCAUUGGUCCUGUAGAUGCUGGGAUGACAAACCACUGAAGGACUCAGACGGUGAGAAAAAACUCAACUUGCACAACCAAAUCACCAUGGAACAUACUCAGAGUAGCAUUGCGUCUCAUCACUAGGA